AUUGAACGCUGGCGGCAGGCCUAACACAUGCAAGUCGAACGGUAACAGGAAACAGCUUGCUGUUUCGCUGACGAGUGGCGGACGGGUGAGUAAUGUCUGGGAAACUGCCUGAUGGAGGGGGAUAACUACUGGAAACGGUAGCUAAUACCGCAUAACGUCGCAAGACCAAAGAGGGGGACCUUCGGGCCUCUUGCCAUCGGAUGUGCCCAGAUGGGAUUAGCUAGUAGGUGGGGUAACGGCUCACCUAGGCGACGAUCCCUAGCUGGUCUGAGAGGAUGACCAGCCACACUGGAACUGAGACACGGUCCAGACUCCUACGGGAGGCAGCAGUGGGGAAUAUUGCACAAUGGGCGCAAGCCUGAUGCAGCCAUGCCGCGUGUAUGACGAAGGCCUUCGGGUUGUAAAGUACUUUCAGCGGGGAGGAAGGGAGUAAAGUUAAUACCUUUGCUCAUUGACGUUACCCGCAGAAGAAGCACCGGCUAACUCCGUG
rnacentral:rRNA from 1 species